rnacentral:rRNA from 1 species
AUUGAACGCUGGCGGCAGGCCUAACACAUGCAAGUCGAGCGGAUGACGGGAGCUUGCUCCUUGAUUCAGCGGCGGACGGGUGAGUAAUGCCUAGGAAUCUGCCUGGUAGUGGGGGACAACGUUUCGAAAGGAACGCUAAUACCGCAUACGUCCUACGGGAGAAAGCAGGGGACCUUCGGGCCUUGCGCUAUCAGAUGAGCCUAGGUCGGAUUAGCUAGUUGGUGGGGUAAUGUCUCACCAAGGCGACGAUCCGUAACUGGUCUGAGAGGAUGAUCAGUCACACUGGAACUGAGGCACGGUCCAGACUCCUACGGGAGGCAGCAGUGGGGAAUAUUGGACAAUGGGCGAAAGCCUGAUCCAGCCAUGCCGCGUGUGUGGAGAAGGUCUUCGGAUUGUAAAGCACUUUAAGUUGGGAGGAAGGGCAGUAAGCUAAUACCUUGCUGUUUUGACGUUACCGACAGAAUAAGCACCGGCUAACUCUGUGCCAGCAGCCGCAGUAA